rnacentral:rRNA from 1 species
GACGUAGGUGGCGAACGUUAUCCGGAAUUAUUGGGCGUAAAGGGUGCGUAGGCGGCAUAAUAAGUUAUUGGCGGGAAAUCGAGGCUCAACCUCGUGGAAACUGAUAAUACUGUUUUGCUUGAGUACAGGAGAGGUUAACGGAACUCCAUGUGGAGCGGUAAAAUGUGUAGAUAUAUGGAAGAACAUCAAUAACGGCGAAGGCAGUUAACUAUUCUGUUACUGACGUUGAGGCACUAAAGCGUGGGGAGCAAAAGG